CCCCACUGCUAUCGGGGUGGGACUAAAACAUGCAAGUCGAGCGCCUUCAAGCUAUGGUGAAGGCGCGGCAAACGGCUCAGUAACACGUGGCCAACCUACCCUUGGGACAGAGACAACCCCGGGAAACUGGGGCUAAUCCCCGAUAGGUAAGGAAUCCUGGAAUGGAUCUUUGCUGAAAGGGCGUCUAGACCAUGCUUCUUGACGUCGCCCAAGGAUGGAGCCGCGGCCGAUCAGGUAGUUGGCGAGGCAACGGCUCACCAAGCCUAUAACCGGUACGGGCCGUGAGAGCGGUAGCCCGGAGAUGGGCACUGAGACAAGGGCCCAGGCCCCACGGGGCGCAGCAGUUGCGAAAACUCCGCAAUGCGCGAAAGCGUGACGGGGCUACCCCGAGUGCCGCCCGUUGAGGGCGGCUUUUCCAUGGUGUAAGGAGCCGUGGGAGUAAGGAGAGGGCAAGACUGGUGUCAGCCGCCGCGGUAAUACCAGCUCUCCGAGUGGUGGGGACGAUUAUUGGGCUUAAAGCGUUCGUAGCCGGCUUAACAAGUCUUCCGUUAAAUCCAACGAUCUAAUCGUUGGGCUGCGGGAGAUACUGUUGGGCUAGGAGGCGGGAGAAGCCGACGGUAUUCCCGGGGUAGGGGUGAAAUCCUGUAAUCCCGGAAGGACCACCAGUGGCGAAGGCGGUCGGCUAGAACGCGCUCGACGGUGAGGGACGAAAGCUGGGGGAGCGAACCGGAUUAGAAACCCGGAUAGUCCCAGCUGUAAACGAUGCGGGCUAGGUGUUGGGGUGGCCAUGAGCCACCUCAGUGCCGCAUGGAAGCAAUUAAGCCCGCCGCCUGGGGAGUACGGCCGCAAGGCUGAAACUUAAAGGAAUUGGCGGGGGAGCACCACAAGGCGUGAAGCUUGCGGUUUAAUUGGAUUCAACGCCGG
rnacentral:rRNA from 1 species